rnacentral:hammerhead_ribozyme from 1 species
GAUGACGAGUCCCAAAUAGGACGAAAUGCGCAUCCUGGAU